rnacentral:lncRNA from 10 species
CCUGUUCCUUGGCUGGGUUAAGGGAGUGGCACUAGCAGGAGCUGCCCCAGGGCUUCUCCCCUGGGGACAAAGAUCUGAUGGAAGUGUGGGGCCAAGUUCUGUGUCCUCCAGCCCUAGUGACCUCUCUUUGGCUCCUCAGCAUCUACAAAUCUGAAGGACAAAACAUGGUUCAAGCAUCUGGGCACAGGCGUAGAAAUGGGGUUUCGCCAUGUUCGCCAGGCUGUUCUUGAGCUCCUGACCUCAGGUGAUCCACCCACCUCGGCCUCCCAAAAGGUUGGGAUUACAGGUGUGAGCCACUGCACCUGGCCUCACACUGACUUUCUUUGCUUUCUUCAAACAUGCUGAGAGUCCUCUGGUGACUAUUCCCUCCAUCUGAGAGGCUUUCUGCAGUUAACAUACAGCCCACUCUCAUCUCCUUCAUGGCUUUGCUCCAAGGCCACCUUCUCAACAAGGAUUACUCUGACUGCCCUAUUUGAAAUCACACCCCAUCUCCAGCCCCUGCACUCCCAAUUCCCCUCUCCUUGCUCUGUUUUUUCCCAUAGGAGCUGGUACCUUCGCUUAUACAAAUGUACUUACUUAUUACAUUUCAUUGCUGUCAGCUCCACGCAAGCAGGGAUAUUUGCCUGUUGUACACUUGGACGGAGAGAAUGAAUAGUGCCCCUCUGUUGACAUCAUUGCCUCUAGCCUACGUCUCUUUCCAGGGCUUUAGAUCCUGUUUCUAGAGACCCACUGGUGUCUCACAGGCAACUCAGCUCCUAGAUGGAAACAGCCUCCUCCGCCCCCCACAAGUCCACUCCUCCUGUGCUCUUGGCUCAGUCAGGGGUCCCCUUCUCUUCAGUUGCUCAAGCCAGAAGUCAAGGUCAUGUCCUUGAUACUUCCCUCUUCCCCAUGCCUCACAUCCAGUCACCAAUCUCCUAAAAUAUCUAGAAUGUGCACAGCUUCCACCAUUCUUUCUACCACCACCCUACUCCUCCAUGGCCAUGUCAGGCCACCACCCGCCCAUUCUUCAAAACUCCCUUCAGGCCUCACCUCCCAUGCCUCCCCUGAGUUCCCCCAGUCCCAGGCUGCUUCUCUCUGGUGGUGUUGCCAUUACCCAUCUCUUCUAUUAAACAGAGUGACCCAAGAGUGGAGAGUGGGUUUUGACUUUGUAUCCCUGGUGCUUGACUCAUAAGUAGGUGCUCAACAAAAAUUUUUUCUUUUUUUGAGAUGGAGUCUUGUUCUGUUGCCCAUGCUGGAG